UGUUUGUGUGUGUGUCUAAGGGUGUGUAUAUUUAGGGUAACAGUCGACAUAUAUUUAUGCUUCCAUUGUCAAUGUGAAUGUUAAACUUUCAGGAACAAAAAGAAUGGUCUCACCUGCUUUGGCUCCUCAAUGAUUUGGAUGUAAGGACCGUGAGCUGAAACACCGACAAGAAAGUUUUAGUUAAUGUCAACACAUACACCUCUUGUGCAGAAUCUGGAUCAAUUCCACAUUCAAAGGGAAAUCUGCAGUCUAUGAACCAAUCAAUAAGCUGAAAGGUCACUUCCUGGAAGUGGCCAGGCGGAGGAAAACCCCCAGAAUUCCAGAUCAGCACUGAGAGGGGCGGGGUUACAGCUGACGAUGUCACACUACUGUUGCUGCAGUUCUUUAAAGACCUGAAAAAACGAAAGACAAGGAAGUUGUUCUGCUCUGCUGAAGUGAUUUGUGCCAAUGCUCCAGGAAAUAUAUUUGCCCCAUUUCCCCACAACCUUUCACCUUGAUGUUCAUUUCUGUGUUCAUCGCUCUGUUAAAACAAGGCAGAUUCCUAAAAUAAGGUUUCUAAAUUAAUCUUAUUAUGAUGAAUAACAUUCAUAUCUCUACAUUUGGAGCUACAGCCACUAGCUUGUUAGCUUAGCUU